AGAAAGUUUCUGCAAGCCCUCAGGCUCCUAGACACAGAUAAUAGGCAGCUAGAAGAUGGCUGGGGCAAGUUAAAAUGUAAAGUGUAAACACUCAGGCAUAAUCCAUGUGGCCCUGACAACAUGACUUCACCUUCUGAUGACGCUGCAACAAGAUCAUCCAUGAACCAUGCAAAAAUAGGUCUUUACCAAGAUGCAUAUGCACAUUUUACAACACAAACAGGAACAACAAUGGCAAAAACUCU